UACGUAGGCAGCGAGCGUUGUUCGGAAUUACUGGGCGUAAAGCGUGCGUAGGCGGUGGUCCAAGUCUGGUGUGAAAUCUCCCGGCUCAACUGGGGGGGUGCGCCGGAAACUGGGCAGCUGGAGUACGGGAGAGGCAAGCGGAAUUCCAGGUGUAGCGGUGAAAUGCGUAGAUAUCAGGAGGAACACCGGUGGCGAAGGCGGGUCUCUGGGUCGAUACUGACGCUGAGGAGCGAAAGCGUGGGGAGCGAACAGG
rnacentral:rRNA from 1 species